ACCCUUCCGGUUGCAGCCUGAGAGAUCAGGCUGAUGGCUGGUGACUUUUUAGUCACCAGCCU
rnacentral:sRNA from 1 species